AUGCGCGUCCGGGUCGGUGAUGUUCCAACGGCACGCGGGCCGCGUCUCGUUCGCGGGGCGCCACCGCUCGUACCGCGUCACCGUUGUCUCCCCGCCGCGGGCGGCCUCCGCGCUGCGCGCCGACGACAGGUAGUACACGGCGGGCUUGUGGCACGGCGUGCGCGCCAGGGGCCGCGUGUUGAACGCGUACGCCGUGUAGUCGGCGCGCCGGUACCAGUUGAGGAACGUCCGCGCCGGCAUCUCCAUCUCCCGCGGCGAGGUCACCCCCCUCGACACCAGCACGGCGAACCCCCACGCCACCGACACCGUCCACCGGUUCGCCCCGUCGUAGCAGAUGGACUGCUGCAUUAUCCCCGCCGGGUCCAGCUUCACGGGCCCGCUGAACAGCCUCCGCACCGCCGCGGGGCGCGCGGGCGCGUUGGGGAACAGCGGCUGCACCACGUCCAGGUGGUGCAGCGUCACGAUCGGCGCCACCGGGUGCGCCGCGAGGAGGCCCAGGAGGUCCCCGUACACGUCGUACUGGUGGAACCCCGGGUGCUUGGUGAGCGGCACCCCCAGCUCCGCCAUGCACGCCUGGAUCCGGUCGUCGCUGCCGUAGAGCGCCGGGUAGCGGCUGAUGCAGCCGUCCUGAAUCCGCGCGAGCGCCUCCGCCAGCGGCCUGCUGAUGGCAAAGCCGCCGCCGCCGUACGCCAUCCCGUAGGAGAAGUAGAUGUUCUGCAGGUGGCUCUCGGAGAGGGAGCCGAUGUAGUAGGGCUGUCGGUGGUCGAACUUGUUGAGGACGGUGAGCAGGUUGUCCGGGAAGAAGACGGUGUCGUCGUCGCCCAUGACGAACCAGCGCACGCCGGGGAGGCCGAGGCGGAAGGUCUCGGAGACGAUGCGGGAGAUGCGGAUGGCGGAGCGGUGGCCGCGGCGGUGCGUGUAGGGGAAGGCGGAGGUGUCGGAGGAGAUCUUGAUGGCCGGGAGCCCCGUCCGCGCCGUCGACAUGUUGGACUCCCGCACCUCGCGGUCCAGCCAGACGUAGCCGCGCAUGGCGCCGCGCGGGCGCCACCACACCUUGAUGUACUCCUUGCGCUUGUCCCAGAACCGCGACGAGGCCGCGAUGCCGAACACCACGUGCUGCAGCGUCGUCGCCGUGGACGCCGCCGCCGCCGCGGGGGCGGCCUUACUGCCGGCCACCGCCGCGGCGGUGCGGUUGGUGGAGACGCGGGAGGAGACCGCGGUGGGGUCCGGCGGGCAGGAGGCGGCGGACGAGGAGGCGGCGGAGGCGAGGAGGAGGUGGAGCGUGUAGAAGAAAUAGAGGGCGGUGAGGGGGAGGAGGAGCAGGAGGAGGAAGCGGAGGAAGGAGCCGGUGACGGACUCCUUGCCGCCGCCACCGCCACCGCCGCCCUUCAUUCCUGGCGCCGUGGCUGCUCCUCGCCGCCGCCGCGCCCGACCUCGCAAUGCCUCUUCCUCGGCGGGGACUGGGGUAUGCUGACCGACUGGUAUCGGGGAGUGGGUUUCUGGCGAGUGAGAUUUGGGAAGGAGAUUUACAUGGGCGGGUCGCGUGGGCAGCAGCCACGGGAGUGUGCCAGGUCGCCCAUCCCCUCCGCGUGUUGCUCUGCUUCUGGUUCUCUUCCUCGUCCCAAUCUCACUCUCUUCGCUUGUUCUAGCGCAGCGGCUUGGACUGGGAUUGAGUGGGGUUUUCGGGUGCGGUGGGGGGUGGGGUGGGUGGGGCGGCGCCUUUUCGAGGUUUCUCCCGUGCCGGUGCUGCACUGCCUGUAUGUCCCGUCGCUAAUCAAGUUCACAUUUAUUUUUCAACUACUAAAAAAGUUCACAUUUAUUUAUUUAUUUCCCACCAAAAAAGCCUAUUUAUUAAUUUUAUGGCAAGGUGCUGCCUGGGGAUGGAUGAUUACUUGCUGUGAUGACGUUGGUUUCUCUUUACAGAAACGUGGGAGGUUCUUCAAUUGA
rnacentral:rRNA from 1 species